rnacentral:rRNA from 1 species
GAUCCUGGCUCAGGACGAACGCUGGCGGCGUGCCUAACACAUGCAAGUCGAACGGGGCUAGGAAAGCUUGCUUUCCGAAGCCUAGUGGCGGACGGGUGGGUAACGCGUGAGUAACCUGCCUUUCAGAGGGGAAUAACGUUCUGAAAAGAACGCUAAUACCGCAUAACGUACAGUUACCGCAUGGUAGCAGUACCAAAGGAGCAAUCCGCUGAAAGAUGGACUCGCGUCCGAUUAGCUAGUUGGUGGGGUAAAGGCCUACCAAGG